GGUCACCUGAAGUCCUUAUUUACGGGAUAACGUGGAGGCUGAGGAAAGUCUUUCAGAGGCCGGGCGCUGGCACCGGACGGAGUAGGGAACCCCAGCCGUUAUCCCACCAAAGGGUCCCAGCGCCUAGAGGGGCUGCGGAAAGCUCCUACAAUACGAGGAGCCCUUGGAGCCCAGAGCGGGAUCCUGCGAGCCGAGGCCCCGUUCUGUUAGGAUCACGGGGACUGCCCCAGGCAGCUGCUGGGCCCGGUCGCGGACCUCGGCCAGAACAUCCUCCCAGAACACAGAGGAAUCUGACAUCAGUGGCCUCCCUUGGUAGAGGUGGGGAGCCGAGGGGCGGCAGUGUGGAAGGGCCAUCGGCCUAGGUCUUUCGUAUCCCCUCCGGCCGCUCGGGGCUGUGCGUUCGGAAACAGCGAAAGGAACGGCCUCAGGAAUCUGGCCUCAGCCGAAGCACUGGUGAACACAGGCUCCCGUCGCGCCGAGGGAAGUAGGAAAAGCUGCUUCCGGGCGGAGGGGCUGCACUUCCGGGGCCCGCGUCCCCCGGAGGCUCCGGCGAGAAGGGCCUCUGGGAGCUUAAGGGCCCCGGCACGCGUUCCCCUGGCGCAGAGCUCGCUAGCCGGGGCGCGGGCUGCCUCCUUGUUCUGGUGUGAUCCGAAUGUAACGGAGCGGACUUUGGGAUCCAGAACCCCGGACUGAGGUUGUGCUUGGCUUGAGGGGCGGGCUGGUAGGUCAGCCCCCUUGGGGCAUCGUUGGUCCUCUCCAGGCGUGUCACAUUCUGCCCGCACAUGGUGCCUUGGUACUCCCCAAAAGUCAUGCCUUGAUUUUUCUUACUAAUAAUAGUUUACACUGUUUUACCGCUUCACUGCUUCACGAUUUUUCCUCUUAGGAUUUAUUUCCCUGGAGACCUCAUGAAGAAUGAUGUGGGUUCUAUAGGGUACAGUGUGAUCUGGGUCCUGCCUAAUCUCCUUUCUAAACUUCAGAAAAUCAUGUGUGCUGACAGCUUUUAAUCACAGUUCAGUAAUGAAUUUAGUUAUAACAAUGAAUAUUUAUUUGGUUAUCAGCAAGUGGCUUAUUGAGUACAUUUCCAAGUGAAUACAUGGAAAGUGUGAGGCUGAGGCAGAGAAGCAUACCUUGGAGUUGUGGAGGCAUGUUUAUAAGCAGAUCUGAGUUUUGCCACACUGGAAUUUAUUUAUUCAUUGAACAAAUAUUUAAUACCUACUACAAUUCUUAGCCGAUAUAUCAGCACAACUUCUCUGCUCCAACUAGUCUACAUUGCAAAGCAUCUCCUAGUGUCUUUGGAAGAAGGAUCUAUGUGCCCUCAGAUUGAUAAUGAUAAGAACUAGAACUGUGAGGACUGCCACGUGACUGUAUUCCUGAGCGAUACGCAGAAUCUUGUGAAAGACUACUAAAGUGACCAUGUUCCUUAGCGGUACUAGAGUCUGACUGUACAGGUGAAGACUGUACAUGUCUGGUUGUAUCACGGUGAGAGGAUCCGGGGUGUCUGGAGCCAUCUCUUGACUGCUCCCGAGAAGAUCCAUGACGGUUUCUGGAAGCAGACUCAGAUCGCCUCUCAGAGUCCUCUGGGUAUGCCUCACUGUCACUGUCCUGGCUAACACUGGAUCCCUGGCGCCUGCUUCUCCUGGACCCCGCUGAUUCGCCCUGGCCGGACUGUGAGUGUCUAGAGCUGUCAGCCUGAGUGGAAGCUUCAUGGUGACGCGACCCUGAGUGCCUGGAGCCGUCUCCUGACUGUUGCUCGUUACGUGUUUGUCUGCUUGCACUUCUGGAUCCUGACUGCCCAUGGGAGGCAUCAGACCUUCCCUGGGAUGUGGUGUGGCUGUGAUGGGACCCUGAGUGUCCAGACCUAUCUACUGAUUGCUCGUGGUAGGAUCCCUGUCUUCCUCCUCUCCUUGACCCCGGGUGUCCAUGAAUGGUGUCCUGACCCUCUUGGGACGCUGAGUGCCUGGAGCUGUCUCGUGCCUGCUCGUGGCGGGAUCCUUGUCUUCCUCCAGUGCUGGGCCCAGUCCGUCCAUGGGCAGACUCAGACUGUUCAUGAGUGCUCACCUGGUAGAGGAAAGACCCUGAACGUCCAGACCUUUCUGCUGACCGGCCACGUGUGGACUCUUGGUGGCUCUGCUGAUGGGGCCCAGCCUGUCCAUGGGCUGACACUGACUGUGUGUCUGAGUCUUCUGAAUGUCCCUCACUGUCACUGGCCUGACUACCACUGGACCCUCGGUGUCCACUGUCUCUGACUGCAGAUGAAGCUUGUCCGUGCCCAAUGCCUGAGUGUCUGGAGCUGUCUGCUGACUGCUGGUGGUGGGAUCCAUGUCUCUCUCCUGCACUUGAUCUUGCCUGUUCAUGGAAUGAUGCAGCCUGUCCACCAGAGGAAUUCUGUGCGUGAUGAGUGCCUGAUUGUCUGGAGCUGUCUGCAGAGUGCCCGUGACCGGCUCUGUCUUCGUGAUGGGACCUGGGGUGUCUGGAGCCAUCUCUUGACUGCUCCUGAGCAGAUCCACGAUGGUUUCUGGAAGCAGACCCAGACCGCCUCUCAGAGUCUUCUGAGUGUCCCUCACUGUCACUGUCCUGGCUAAAACUGGAUCCCUGGCGCCUGCUUGUCCUGGACCCCUCUGAUUGUCCCUGGCCUGCCUGUGAGUGUCUAGAGCUGUCGGCCCAAGAGGAAGCUUCAUGAUGACGCGACCCUGAGUGCCUAGAGCCGUCUCCUGAUUGUUCCUUGUCAUGUGUUUGUCUGCUUGCACUUCUGGAUCCUGACUGCCCACGGGAGGCAUCAGACCUUCCCUGGGAUGUGGUGUGGCUGUGAUGGGACCCUGAGUGUCCAGACCUAUCUACCGAUUGCUUGUGGUGGGACCCCUGUCUUCCUCCUCUGCUUGGCCCCGGGUGUCCACGAAUGGUGUCCUGACCCUCUUGGGAUGCUGAGUGCCUGGAGCUGUCUUGUGCCUGAUCAUGGUGGGAUCCUUGUCUUCCUCCAGUGCUGGGCGCAGACUGUCCAUGGGUGGACUCAGGCUGUUCAUGAGUGCUCACCUGGUAGAGGAAAGACCCUGAACGUCCAGAGCUUUCCCCUGACUGGCCACGUGCAGACUCUUUGUGGCUCCACUGAUGGGGCCCAGCUUGUCCCUGGGCUGACACUGACUGUGUGUCUGAGUCUUCUGAAUGUCCCUCACUGUCAAUGGCCUGACUACCACUGGACCCUCGGUGUCCACUGUCUCUGACUGCAGAUGAAGCUUGUCCAUGCCCAAUGCCUGAGUGUCUGGAGCUGUCUGCUGACUGGAGCUGGUGGCGGGAUCCAUGUCUUUCUCCUGCACUUGAUCUUGCCUGUUCAUGGGAUGACGCAGCCUGUCCACGAGAGGAAGACUCUGUGUGACGAGUGCCUGAUUGUCUGGAGCUGUCUGCAGAGUGCCCGUGACCGGCUCUGUCUUCUUGAUGGGACCCAGGGUGUCUGGAGCCAUCUCUUGACUGCUCCCGAGCAGAUCCAUGUUGGUUUCUGGAAGCAGACCCAGACCACCUCUCAGAGUCUUCUGAGUGUCCCUGACUGUCACUGUCCUGGCUAACACUGGAUCCCUGGCGCCUGCUUCUCCUGGACCCCGCUGAUUCGCCCUGGCCGGACUGUGAGUGUCUAGAGCUGUCCGCCUGAGUGAAAGCUUCAUGGUGAUGCGACCCUGAGUGCCUGGAGCCGUCUCCUGAUUGUUCGUCAUUACGAGUUUGUCUGCUUGCACUUCUGGAUCCUGACUGCCCAUGGGAGGCAUCAGACCUUCCCUGGGAUGUGGUGUGGCUGUGAUGGGACCCUGAGUGUCCAGACGUAUCUACCGAUUGCUCGUGGUGGGAUCCCUGCCUUCCUCCUCUGCUUGACCCCGGGUGUGCAUGAAUGGUGUCCUGACCCUCUUGGGACGCUGAGUGCCUGGAGCUGUCUCGUGCCUGCUCGUGGUGGGAUCCUUGUCUUCCUCCAGUGCUGGUACCGGUCUGCCCAUGGGUGGACUCAGACUGUUCAUGAGUGCUCACCUGGUAGAGGAAAGACCCUGAACGUCCAGACCUUCCCCCUGACCGGUCACGUGCAGACUCUUGGUGGCUCUGCUGAUGGGGCCCAUCCUGUCCAUGGCCUGACACUGACUGUGUGUCUGACUCUUCUGAAUGUCCCUCACUAUCACUGGCCUGACUACCACUGGACCCCCAGUGUCCACUGUCUCUGACUGCAGAUGAAGCUUGUCCGCGCCGAAUGCCUGAGUGUCUGGAGCUGUCUGCUGACUGCUGGUGGCGGGAUCCGUGUCUCUCUCCUGGACUUGAUCUUGCCUGUUCACGGGAUGAUGCAGCCUGUCCACCAGAGGAAGUCUCUGCGUGAUGAGUGCCUGAUUGUCUGGAGCUGUCUGCAGAGUGCCCGUGACCGGCUCUGUCUUCGUGAUGGGACCUGGGGUGUCUGGAGCCAUCUCGUGACUGCUCCUGAGCAGAUCCACGAUGGUUUCUGGAAGCAGACCCAGACCACCUCUCAGAGUCUUCUGAAUGUCCCUCACUGUCACUGUCCUGGCUAACACUGGAUCCCUGGCGUCUGCUUGUCCUGGACCCCUCUGAUUGUCCCUGGCCUGCCUGUGAGUGUCUAGAGAUGUCGGCAUGAGUGGAAGCUUCAUGGUGACGCGACCCUGAGUGCCUGGAGCCGUCUACUGAUUGUUCAUCAUUACGUGUUGUUCUGCUUGCACUUCUGGAUCCUGACUGCCCAUGGGAGGCAUGAGAGCUUCCCUGGGAUGUGAUGUGGCUGUGAUGGGACCCUGAGUGUCCAGAGCUAUCUACCGAUUGCUCGUGGUGGUACCCCUGCCUUCCUCCUCUGCUUGGCCCCGGGUGUCCACGAAUGGUGUCCUGACCCUCUUGGGAUGCUGAGUGCCUGGAGCUGUCUUGUGCCUGCUCAUGGCGGGAUCCUUGUCUUCCUCUAGUGCUGGGCCCUGUCCAUCCAUGGGAGGAUUCAGACUGUUCAUGAGUGCUCACCUGGUAGAGGAAAGAUCCUGAACGUCCAGACCUUUCCCCUGACCGGCCACGUGCGGACUCUUGGUGGCUCUGCUGAUGGGACCCAGCCUGUCCGUGGGCUGACACUGACUGUGUGUCCGAGUCUUCUGAAUGUCCCUCACUGUCACUGGCCUGACUACCACUGUACCCUCGGUGUCCACUGUCUCUGACUGCAGAUGAAGCUUGUCCGUGCCCAAUGCCUGAGUGUCUGGAGCUGUCUGCUGACUGCUGGUGGCGGGAUCCAUGUCUUUCUCCUGCACUUGAUCUUCCCUGUUCAUGGGAUGACGCAGCCUGUCCACCAGAGGAAGUCUGUGUGUGACGAGUGCCUGAUUGUCUGGAGCUGUCUGCAGAGUGCCCAUGACCAGCUCUGUCUUCGUGAUGGGACCUGGGGUGUCUGGAGCCAUCUCUUGACUGCUCCCGAGCAGAUCCAUGAUGAUUUCUGGAAGCAGACCCAGACCACCUCUCAGAGUCUUCUGAGUGUCCCUCACUGUCACUGUCCUGGCUAACACUGGAUUCCCGGUGCCUACUUGUCCUGGGCCCCUCUGAUUGUCCCUGGCCCACCUGCGAGUGUCUAGAGCUGUCGGCCCGAGAGGAAGCUUCAUGGUGAUGCGACCCUGAGUGCCUGAAGCCGUCUCCUGACUGUUCAUCGUUAUGAGUUUGUCUACUUGCACUUCUGGAUCCUGACUGCCCAUGGUAGGCAUCAGACCUUCCCUGGGAUGUGGUGUGGCUGUGAUGAGACCCUGAGUGUCCAGACCUAUCUACCAAUUGCUCAUAGUGGGAUCCCUGCCUUCCUCCACUGCUUGACCCCGCGUGUCCAUGAAUGGUGUCCUGACCCUCUUGGGACACUGAGUGCCUGGAGCUGUCUCGUGCCUGCUCGUGGAGGGAUCUUUGUCUUCCUCCAGUGCUGGUCCCGGUCCGUCCAUGGGCAGACUCAGACUGUUCAUGAGUGCUCACCUGGUAGAGGAAAGACCCUGAACGUCCAGACCUUUCCGCUGACCGGCCACGUGUGGACUCUUGGUGGCUCUGCUGAUGGGGCCCAGCCUGUCCGUGGGCUGACAGUGACUGUGUGUCUGAGUCUUCUGAAUGUCCCUCACUGUCACUGGCCUGACUACCACUGGACCCUCGGUGUCCACUGUCUCUGACUGCAGAUGAAGCUUGUCCGUGCCCAAUGCCUGAGUGUCUGGAGCUGUCUGCUGACUGCUGGUGGUGGGAUCCGUGUCUCUCUCCUGCACUUGAUCUUGCGUGUUCAUGGGAUGACGCAGCCUGUCCACGAGAGGAAGACUCUGUGUGAUGAGUGCCUGAUUGUCUGGAGCUGUCUGCAGAGUGCCCGUGACCGGCUCUGUCUUCUUGAUGGGACCCAGGGUGUCUGGAGCCAUCUCUUGACUGCUCCCAAGCAGAUCCAUGAUGGUUUCUGGAAGCAGACCCAGACCACCUCUCAGAGUCUUCUGAGUGUCCCUGACUGUCACUGUCCUGGCUAACACUGGAUCCCUGGUUCCUGCUUGUCCUGGGCCCUGAUGAUUGUCCCUGACCCACCUGCGAGUGUCUAGAGCUGUCGGCCCGAGAGGAAGCUUCAUGGUGACGCGACCCUGAGUGCCUGGAGCCGUCUCCUGAUUGUUCCUCGUUACGUGUUUGUCUGCUGGCACUUCUGGAUCCUGACUGCCCAUGGGAGGCAUUAGACCUUUCCUGGGACGUGGUGUGGCUGUGAUGAGACCCUGAGUGUCCAGACCUAUCUACCGAUUGCUCGUAGUGGGAUCCCUGCCUUCCUCCUCUGCUUGACCCCGGGUGUGCAUGAAUGAUGUCCUGACUCUCUUGGGAUGCUGAGUGCCUGGAGCUGUCUCGUGCCUGCUCGUGGCGGGAUCUUUGUCUUCCUCCAGUGCUGGGCCCUGUCCGUCCAUGGGCGGACUCAGACUGUUCAUGAGUGCUCACCUGGUAGAGGAAAGACCCUGAACGUCCAGACCUUUCCCCUGACUGGCCACGUGUGGACUCUUGGUGGCUCUGCUGACGGGGCCCAGCCUGUCUGUGGGCUGACACUGACUGUGUGUCUGAGUCUUCUGAGUGUCCCUCGCUGUCACUGGCCUGACUACCACUGGACCCUCGGUUUCCACUGUCUCCGACUACAGAUGAAGCUUGUCUGCCCCCAGUGCCUGAGUCUGUGGAGCUGUCUGCUGACUGCUGGUGGCGGGAUCCAUGUCUUUCUCCUCGACUUGACCUUGCCUGUUCCUGGGAUGAUGCAGCCUGUCCAUGAGAGGAAGUCUCUGCGUGAUGAGUGCCUGAUUGUCUAGAGCUCUCUGCAGAGUGCCCAUGACUGGCUCUAUCUUCUUGAUGGGACCUGGGGUUCCUGGAGCCAUGUCUUGACUGCUCCCGAGCAGAUCCAUAAUGGUUUCUGGAAGCAGACUCAGACUGCCUCUCAGAGUCUUCUGAGUGUCCCUCACUGUCCCUGUCCUGACUAACACUGGAUCCCUGGCGCCUGCUUGUCUUGGACACCGCUGAUUCUCCCUGGCCCACCUGUGAGUGUCUAGAGCUGCUGGCCCGAGUGGAAGGUUCAUGGUGACGUGACCCUGAGUGCCUGGAGCCGUCUCCUGAUUGUUCCUCAUUUCUUGUUUGCCUGCUUGCACUUCUGGGUCCUGACUGCCCAUGGGAGGCAUCAGACCUUCCCUGGGGUGUGGUGUGGCUGUGAUGGUACCCUGAGUGUCCAGACCUAUCUACUGAUUGCUCGUGGUAGGAUCCCUGCCUUCCUCCUCUGCUUGACCCCGGGUGUCCACGAAUGGUGUCCUGACCGUCUUGGGAUGCUGAGUGCCUAGAGCUGUUUCGUGCCUGCUCAUGGCGGGAUCCUUGUCUUCCUCCAGUGCUGGGUGCAGUCUGUCCGUAUGUGGACUCAGACUGUUCAUGAGAGCUCACCUGGUAGAGGAAAGACCCUGAACGUCCAGAGCUUUCCCCUGACUGGCCACGUGCGGACUCUUUGUGGCUCUGCUGAUGGGGCCCAGCUUGUCCGUGGGAUGACACUGACUGUGUGUCUGAGUCUUCUGAAUGUCCCUCACUGUCAAUGGCCUGACUACCACUGGACCCUCGGUGUCCACUGUCUCUGACGGCAGAUGAAGCUUGUCCGUGCCCAAUGCCUGAGUGUCUGGAGCUGUCUGCUGACUGCUGGUGGCGGGAUCCAUGUCUUUCUCCUGGACUUGAUCUUGCCUGUUCAUGGGAUGACGCAGCCUGUCCACGAGAGGAAGACUCUGUGUGACGAGUGCCUGAUUGUCUGGAGCUGUCUGCAGAGUGCCCGUGACCGGCUCUGUCUUCUUGAUGGGAGCUGGGGUGUCUGGAGCCAUCUCUUGACUGCUCCCGAGAAGAUCCAUGAUGGUUUCUGGAAGCAGACCCAGACAACCUCUCGGAGUCGUCUGAGUGUCUCUCACUGUCACUGUCCUGGCUAACACUGGAUCCCUGGUGCCUGCUUGUUCUGGACCCCGAUGAUUGUUCCUGUCCCACCUGUGAGUGUCUAGAGCUGUCAGCCCGAGAGGCAGCUUCAUGGUGACGUGACCCUGAGUGCCUGGAGCCGUCUCCUGAUUGUUCAUUGUUACGAGUUUGUCUGCUUGCACUUCUGGAUCCUGACUGCCCACGGGAGGCAUCAGACCUUCCCUGGGAUGUGGUGUGGCUGUGAUGGGACACUGAGUGUCCAGAUCUAUCUACCGAUUGCUCAUGGUGGGAUCCCUGCCUUCCUCCUCUGCUUGACCCCGGGUGUCCACGAAUGGUGUCCUGACCCUCUUGGGACGCUGAGUGCCUGGAGCUGUCUCGUGCCUGCUCGUGGUGGGAUCCUUGUCUUCGUCCAGUGCUGGUCGUGGUCCGCCCAUGGGCAGACUCAGACUGUUCAUGAGUGCUCACCUGGUAGAGGAAAGACCCUGAACGUCCAGACCUUCCCCCUGACCAGUCACGUGCGGACUCUUGGUGGCUCUGCUGAUGGGGCCCAUCCUGUCCAUGGCCUGACACUGACUGUGUGUCUGACUCUUCUGAAUGUCCCUCACUGUCACUGGCCUGACUACCACUGGACCCUCGGUGUCCACUGUCUCUGACUGCAGAUGAAGCUUGUCCGCGCCGAAUGCCUGAGUGUCUGGAGCUGUCUGCUGACUGCUGGUGGUGGGAUCCGUGUCUCUCUCCUGCACUUGAUCUUGCGUGUUCAUGGGAUGACGCAGCCUGUCCACGAGAGGAAGACUCUGUGUGAUGAGUGCCUGAUUGUCUGGAGCUGUCUGCAGAGUGCCCGUGACCGGCUCUGUCUUCUUGAUGGGACCCAGGGUGUCUGGAGCCAUCUCUUGACUGCUCCCAAGCAGAUCCAUGAUGGUUUCUGGAAGCAGACCCAGACCACCUCUCAGAGUCUUCUGAGUGUCCCUGACUGUCACUGUCCUGGCUAACACUGGAUCCCUGGUUCCUGCUUGUCCUGGGCCCUGAUGAUUGUCCCUGACCCACCUGCGAGUGUCUAGAGCUGUCGGCCCGAGAGGAAGCUUCAUGGUGACGCGACCCUGAGUGCCUGGAGCCGUCUCCUGAUUGUUCCUCGUUACGUGUUUGUCUGCUGGCACUUCUGGAUCCUGACUGCCCAUGGGAGGCAUUAGACCUUUCCUGGGACGUGGUGUGGCUGUGAUGAGACCCUGAGUGUCCAGACCUAUCUACCGAUUGCUCGUAGUGGGAUCCCUGCCUUCCUCCUCUGCUUGACCCCGGGUGUGCAUGAAUGAUGUCCUGACUCUCUUGGGAUGCUGAGUGCCUGGAGCUGUCUCGUGCCUGCUCGUGGCGGGAUCUUUGUCUUCCUCCAGUGCUGGGCCCUGUCCGUCCAUGGGCGGACUCAGACUGUUCAUGAGUGCUCACCUGGUAGAGGAAAGACCCUGAACGUCCAGACCUUUCCCCUGACUGGCCACGUGUGGACUCUUGGUGGCUCUGCUGACGGGGCCCAGCCUGUCCGUGGGCUGACACUGACUGUGUGUCUGAGUCUUCUGAGUGUCCCUCGCUGUCACUGGCCUGACUACCACUGGACCCUCGGUUUCCACUGUCUCCGACUACAGAUGAAGCUUGUCUGCCCCCAGUGCCUGAGUCUGUGGAGCUGUCUGCUGACUGCUGGUGGCGGGAUCCAUGUCUUUCUCCUCGACUUGACCUUGCCUGUUCCUGGGAUGAUGCAGCCUGUCCAUGAGAGGAAGUCUCUGCGUGAUGAGUGCCUGAUUGUCUAGAGCUCUCUGCAGAGUGCCCAUGACUGGCUCUAUCUUCUUGAUGGGACCUGGGGUUCCUGGAGCCAUGUCUUGACUGCUCCCGAGCAGAUCCAUAAUGGUUUCUGGAAGCAGACUCAGACUGCCUCUCAGAGUCUUCUGAGUGUCCCUCACUGUCCCUGUCCUGACUAACACUGGAUCCCUGGCGCCUGCUUGUCUUGGACACCGCUGAUUCUCCCUGGCCCACCUGUGAGUGUCUAGAGCUGCUGGCCCGAGUGGAAGGUUCAUGGUGACGUGACCCUGAGUGCCUGGAGCCGUCUCCUGAUUGUUCCUCAUUUCUUGUUUGCCUGCUUGCACUUCUGGGUCCUGACUGCCCAUGGGAGGCAUCAGACCUUCCCUGGGGUGUGGUGUGGCUGUGAUGGUACCCUGAGUGUCCAGACCUAUCUACUGAUUGCUCGUGGUAGGAUCCCUGCCUUCCUCCUCUGCUUGACCCCGGGUGUCCACGAAUGGUGUCCUGACCGUCUUGGGAUGCUGAGUGCCUAGAGCUGUUUCGUGCCUGCUCAUGGCGGGAUCCUUGUCUUCCUCCAGUGCUGGGUGCAGUCUGUCCGUAUGUGGACUCAGACUGUUCAUGAGAGCUCACCUGGUAGAGGAAAGACCCUGAACGUCCAGAGCUUUCCCCUGACUGGCCACGUGCGGACUCUUUGUGGCUCUGCUGAUGGGGCCCAGCUUGUCCGUGGGAUGACACUGACUGUGUGUCUGAGUCUUCUGAAUGUCCCUCACUGUCAAUGGCCUGACUACCACUGGACCCUCGGUGUCCACUGUCUCUGACGGCAGAUGAAGCUUGUCCGUGCCCAAUGCCUGAGUGUCUGGAGCUGUCUGCUGACUGCUGGUGGCGGGAUCCAUGUCUUUCUCCUGGACUUGAUCUUGCCUGUUCAUGGGAUGACACAGCCUGUCCACGAGAGGAAGACUCUGUGUGACGAGUGCCUGAUUGUCUGGAGCUGUCUGCAGAGUGCCCGUGACCGGCUCUGUCUUCUUGAUGGGACCUGGGGUGUCUGGAGCCAUCUCUUGACUGCUCCCGAGCAGAUCCAUGAUGGUUUCUGGAAGCAGACCCAGACCACCUCUCGGAGUCUUCUGAGUGUCCCUCACUGUCACUGUCCUGGCUAACACUGGAUCCCUGGUGGCUACUUGUCCUGGGCCCCGAUGAUUGUCCCUGGCCCACCUGUGAAUGUCUAGAGCUGUCAGCCUGAGAGGAAGCUUCAUGGUGACGGGACCCUGAGUGCCUGGAGCCAUCUCCUGAUUGUUCCUCAUUACGUGUUUGUCUGCUUGCACUUCUGGAUCCUGACUGCCCAUGGGAGGCAUCAGACCUUCCCUGGGAUGUGGUGUGGCUGUGAUGGGAACCUGAGUGUCCAGACCUAUUUACCAAUUGCUCGUGGUGGGAUCCCUGCCUUCCUCCUCUGCUUGACCCCGGGUGUCCACGAAUGGUGUCCUGACCCUCUUGGGACGCUGAAUGCCUGGAGCUAUCUCGUGCCUGCUCGUGGUGCGAUCCUUGUCUUCCUCCAGUGCUGGUCCCGGUCCGCCCAUGGGCAGAGUCAGACUGUUCAUGAGUGCUCACCUGGUAGAGGAAAGACCCUGAAUGUCCAGACUGUUCCCCUGACCGGCCACGUGCGGACUCUUGGUGGCUCUGCUGUCUCGGCCCAGCCUUUCCGUGGCCUGACACUGAUUGUGUGUCUGAGUUUUCUGAAUGUCCCUCACUGUCACUGGCCUGACUACCGCUAGACCCCCGGGGUCCACGAUCGCUGACUGCAGAUGAAGCUUGCCCGCGCCCAGUGGCUGAGUGUCUGGAGCUGUCUGCUGACUGCUGGUGGCGGGAUCCAUGUCUUUCUCCUGGACUUGAUCUUGCCUGUUCAUGGGAUGAUGCAGUCUGUCCACGAGAGGAAGUCUCUGCGUGACGAGUGCCUGAUUGUCUGGAGCUGUCUGCAGAGUGCCCAUGACUGGCUCUGUCUUCAUCAUGGGACCUGGGGUGUCUGGAGCCAUCUCUUGACUGCUGCCGCGCAGAUCCAGGAUGGUUUCUGGAAGCCGACCCAGAGUGCCUCUCAGAGUCUUCUGAGUGUCCCUCACUGUCCCUGUCCUGGCUAACUCUGGAUCCCCUACGCUUUCUUGUCCUGGACUCCUGCAAUGGUGUUAUAUGUGAACAAAGAUGUAGACUAGUAAGGUGUCAAGAUUUGAUGGGGAUAUCCAGACAACUUGGAGCCAAGUCCCCACAGCUGGAUCAGACAACUUUUGGUGACAUCUCACAGUGUGGAUUAUCAAGCCAGUGUAUCAGUCUGGAGCCUAGGUUUUUUGCCUUUAGCUUUGCUCAGGAUGACUUCUGCUCUUCUAUGGCAAUACUUGAGAAGCUACAGCUUUGAUUAGACGAGAGGCUAUUUCAAUAACUUCCUCCUGAUAAGAAGACCACCGACCGUGGACGGAUUCUGGCCAGUUUAAAAAGGCUGCAUACCAUAGGGCAGGGCACCCCACUAUGGUAAACACUAAUAAUGAUAUUGCUCCUGAUUUUGUUUCUGAAGGGAAUGCCUCUAAGAUUUCUUCAUUAAUUAUAAGAGACUGGGUCUCACUCUGUUGCCCAAGCUGGAGUACAGUGGCACCAUCAUAGCUCACUGCAGCCUUCAACUUCUGGGCUCAAGUGAUUCUCCCACCUCAGCCUCCCAAGUAGCAUGGACAACAGCAUCUCACUUUGUCACCCAGGCUGGAGUGCAGUGGUAUGAUCAUGACUCAACACAGCCUCGAUUUCCCAGGCUCAAGUGAUCCUUCUGCCUCAGCCUCCCAAGUAGGUGAAAUUGAAGGCCAGCUUUUGGAACUCAACCUUCAAAGGAACUUAAAAUUUCCAUUAUGUAGAGUCCCUGAGGAAACUGGAUCCACUAGCUACACUGGCUGAGAAUGCUCUCACCCCAGGAUUUCAUUUUUAUUUUACCACAUCAUUGUUGGUAUCUUAAGAUCAAUGUACUGGAGCAGCGGGGUCUCACAAAGAGGAUACCUGGUGACACGCCCAGGCUUUCAGAAUGCGCUAUAGGGCUUUAGUGACUUGUCCAGGUUCAGCUGAAAUGUGCCAUCUGGGACCUACUAAUGCUUGUUGAACUUUACUGGAUCUCAGAAGCUGGGUCUCAGAAGCUCAGAUGUUCCUCAGAGCUACGAUAUCAACAACCUGUGAUGACAGAGAGAAGGUUGCUCCAUGAUGGAUUUGGAAACUUACUGGCUAGCUAAACCUGACUGAAUGGGAAGGAAUGUGGAUAGCUUUGGAACUCUAGUUUCACUAGAUGAGCUGGAAUUUGUAUUUUGACAAAUUGCACGUUAUGAUUAUUAAGUAAUGCAACUGAUUUUUUUCCCUUAAAACAAACAAUCUAGAAUCUGUGUAAUCAAAAUAAUUUCUCUAAAAGGCUGCAAGUAUAUGCUUAAAGUGUUGGGGCAUUCAGAGCAUUUGGAACAUUACAUUCUUUUGAAUGUCAAUUGGUAGAUGAAAAUACCAGCUUUUAAGUCAUACAUUUGAUUUUUUGAAACAAUAUGCAUUUAGAGUUUGUAAGUCAAGUGAAUAACUGAUAAGGUAAAAAAAAGGGGGGAGUUCAUUGUUGAGUAUGAAUUUAAAGUAACCAGACUGACUUUUGUCCAGUGGCUGUCAGUAAUUUACUUCAGCAGGCAUUUUUUUUUUUGAGGCUGUUCUAUGAUAUCAUGACCCUUCUUGUAGGAAUGUGCUUCCAGUGGUGAGGCAGUCUGAGAAUGUGUGAAGCAGUAUAAUGAAGCCAGACCAAGAUGGAAGCUUGGCCUGGGAUUUGAGCAUCAGGAAAACUGUUGAAGGGUUAUGUAUACAUCACACACACACACACACACACACACACACACACACACACACACUCUCUCUCUCUUCCAUACUCCUAUAACAACGUAUAGUAUUUACUCUACCUGGUGACAGGUAUUUACUAUACAUUGUUGAAGAUCUAUAACAUGGAAUGCCUAGUGCUAAGUGCAGUGUCCUUAGUGAAAUUGUAUUGGUUUGGAAUUAUUUAUGAGUUUGGGAUUAUUUGUCACUACCCUUAAAUGAUCUUGACACUCACCUAUUUGAAAAGAUAUUGAGGAUUUGCCAUUUGAUAUUGACCAGGGUGUAUUGUGCACAAAUAUUGUGAAUAUACAUCUGUCUGUCCUUAAAUCACUGUAAGUUUUAACUGGAAUAGAUUUGCUCCACAUUACUCGGUAGGGCUGAUAUUUCAUGCCUCAUGGAUGAGAAAAGAAUAGGCAAAAAUUAUAUCUCGGGCUGCCUCACACAUCUUUUAACAGGAUAAGGGAAAAAUAAAUAUAAGACCUAUGAGUUAUGGCAUCAGGCUUGAACUUUAAUUUAUGAAUUAAACCAACAAUAUUAUUGAUUAUUGCAAUUAUGUUAAUUUCAUUUGUUCUCCUUUUAAAAAUUAAUUAUGUUUAUUUUACCUAUUGUGAAUAAAGUCACUCCUCCCAUGUGCUUA